CGGCGUGUAUCGGUCGCACAGACAUUGUCGACGUCGCUAACGCGCCGGAAUUAUAGCGUAGAUCCUCGGAGGGAUUAAGAGCCGCCGCAGCGCGAGUCCCGGAGAGCGUGGACUUAAUGGCAGCGCCGGCGACGGCGGCGGCGGCGGCUUCGCGAGCGAGCGAGUUGCGUGGAGAGAUGCGAUUCUCCGGUCGUUUCUCACGAGCGAGAUCAUGCGGGACUGCUCAAGCUCGCGGUGCGCGUACAGUUCGACCUGCGGAGCGGACAGUCGGACAGACGAAGAGACCCCGUCGUCGUCAUCGUCGUCGUCCUCGUCCUCGUCCGUGCCGCCGUCCACCCGAGGAUCUCGCUGCGAUCGUUGUCGUUAUCGUACUGUGCAAAAUCUUGAAAGGAUCCGGACUCGCGUCGAGUCCUGCGAGCGUUCAGACUGCCGCACGGUGGUGUCGACGGCUGAAGGAUGAGUGUCCGAACAGCGGCGAAGACAGCGAGGAGGAUGUAAUAACCGAUUAUCUCGGCUCAUCGCACUCCGACUGCGAUCGCAUGCCUAUCAUUAAUGGGGAUCUGCGCGACCUGAGUCUGCACGGCGGCAUCGUCACGGAGACCGGUUACACCAAAGACAAUACCGCGAAAACGCCGAUCAGCAUGUCGGCGGUCGGCAUGACUAGCGAUGAGCAACACCAGCAGCAGCAGCAGCAACAGCAACAGCAUCACCAGCAGCAGCAGCAGCAGCAACAUCAUCAGCAGCAGCAGCAGCAGCAGCAGCAGCAUCACCACCAUCACCACCACCACCACCACCCGUUGCUUACACUCGGCACUAAUAUUCAAGCCCAGCCUAAUCCUCUGGUGCCCAUCAUUAGCGUUACGCCGCACUCGCCCGGGCUGGCCAAGAACUAUCCGGUGCUAGAGGAGAAUCUGCAGCAGCUGCACGAGAUCCACGACUGCAUCCAACGUAUGCGCGACCUGACGUUGAGCACCCUGGGCUACCACAAUCGCGCGUCCAACAACGACGCCGCGCAGCGAUUAACCUCCUCGUGCCCGACCUUGUGCCCGCUGACCUCGGCCGAGCUCGCGCCUCGUCCGGGCAAUCCUCACGACACUGGCUCCGACCCGGACCUCCUCGCUAAUUGCUCCACCAACAGCUCCCCGACACACUUCCCGGGCUCAGUCGGCCAUUCUCGUUCUCAACGGGCGCAGGCAGGUAUAGACAGGAGACGCAGUUGGACCGGGGACCUGGAGGACCUGGAAGAAAGCCGACGCGGCGGUCGGCACCGGUAUUCCGGGCAGAAUCACCUGCAGGCCCAGAACAUGGUUAAUAUUGACCGUUACUUGUUGGGACCGGAAGUUGGAGCCGGUUCGAUUUCGCGACAACGCAGCAUUAGUUUAAGUAGCCUAGACAGCGAGAACGAGCUAGAAUUAGAUGGAAAAUCGUGCACCGGACCUGUAGCUGUAAGCAAUCGGGCGUGCAGGUCGCAGACAAGCACUCACUCUCUGAACGAAGCUGAUCUUGUACAGAGCGAAUAUCAGAAGAUAGUCACAAAGAGGGGUAGUCAGAGAUUAGCAGAAAGUAGCAGUUUAAUGCCAGGGCUGACUGGUUCGCGUUUACCUCUUCAGAAAUCCAUAUCGACGCCCUCGAUCGUUACGCCGCAGGUUCACGCGCAUUUAGGCGAAGCCGGAACUCGAACGACGCCUUCACUCGCAGCCCGUCAUGAAAGAAACGAAAAGGGUAGUGGGAGUGAGACAGAAACCGAAGAUCUCCAUACACCACACAGCCACGAAUUCCACGAAGACCGAGAGGGCACUCCUAGUGCCCAGAUAUCCCUUGACGAGCUUUUGACCGAUGGCACCGUGUACGAUGAUCAUCACUCCGAGAAGACCAGAAGAAAGCGUGGUUCGAUCUUCUUCCGCAAGAAGAAGGAUAAAAGUGGCAAAAAGACUAGUCAGCAGCAACAUCUGUGGGUAACAAUGACUGUGGGGACUCAGGGCAGCUUACUAUGUGAUGUUUGUAUGAAACAUUCGACGAAUAAACCGCUCCUCCACUGCGACAAUUGCGGAGCGUCGGUUCAUCAGAGUCAAGGGUGCAAGGAUCAGUUGGUGCUGGAGUGCAUCAAGUCCAAGCAUCACUCCGGCAAGUCCGCUGCAAAGUCCUCGUCGAACGCCUCCACGAUGUCGAACAGCAACAACGUGAAACGCGGCUCUACGACGUCGCUGCCCUUGCCGACGUCGUCCGGAAGCGGAAGGGAAAUUAACAGCAAGAAAACCGUGUCAAGCUACAGCCCUUGGCGGCGAGUUGCCACUAAGCUUGGAGUCAAUCAAACGAUAAACGAAGAAAAAGAUGGGGAUGGCGGGCAACAUCGCGACCUUUCCAGCGGAUGGGAGGAAUUUGAUUUCGGAGAAGAUCAUCAGUUUACCGUGGGGGACCUCGAGGAGAUCGACCCCGAGCUAGGUUUGGGAAAGGAGGAGCCGGACUCUUGGAGCGCUGCCAUCGGUCGCAAUGUUGCGCUGCGCCUCGUCGAUCACUGCGAGCGCGAGGUGAAGAGGCAGGAGCACAUCUACGAGUUCGUGCUGACGGAGAAGCAUCACUGCCUGGUGCUGCUCGCCAUGGAGAGAAUUUUCGCGGAGGGUCUGCAGCGUCACUUUCGCCUGGGCCAGCCGGAUCUCGAACGUAUGUUCCCCCGGCUGCGGGACCUUAUCGAAAUCCACCUGCGGUUCCUGCAGAAGCUGCGGAAGCGGCAGAACGCCAACUCCGUGGUCAGCACAAUCGCUGACAUCCUGGUCGAACAGUUCUCCGGCGAGAACGCGCAGCGCAUGAAGAGCGCGUACGGGGAGUUUUGUAGCCGCCAUAGGGAUGCCGUCGAGGCGUACAAGUAUUAUCAACGUCACGACUCGCGUUUCGCUCGCUUCGUCCGCCACUGUCAGACGAAUCCGUUGUUGAAGAAGAAAGGUAUACCGGAAUGUAUACUGUUCGUUACUCAACGUCUGACGAAGUAUCCGCUACUGGUGGAGCCGCUCAUCAAAACCGGCGUCGUGCAAGAGGAGAGUGAAAACUUACGUAAAGCACUGCUACUUGUUAAGGAGAUUUUAGCUGAUGUAGAUGCCUGUGUAGCCGACAAGGAGCGGGAGGAUAGAAAAUUAGAAAUAUACAAUAAGAUCGACGCGAAGUCGUUUGCGACAUACCGUGGUGCCAAAUUCAAAAAGUCGGACAUAAUGGCGUUCAACAGAAUCUUGAAGUUCGAGGGCACCGCAUACUUAAUGCAAGGCCGUGGCAAAAUGACUGCCAUCGUAGUGGUCGUUCUCUCAGACAUAUUAUUUUUCUUGGCUGAGAGAGAUCAGAAAUAUGCGUUCUUCGUGCCUGACAAUAAAGCCGGCAUAGUGUCGCUGCAGAAGCUGCUGGUACGUGAGAAGGCCGGCCAAGAGUCCAGCAUUUAUAUAAUAAGCAGUAACCCAGCCGAACCGGAGAUGUUCGAAUUGAAAAUCCAGAAGCCAAAGGACAAACAGCUGUGGAUACAAUCGAUCCGAUCGGCGGUCGAGGCUUGCCCACAGGAGCCCGAGAAUGAAGCCGACACGUUGACUGAGAGCAGCAGUGAACUGCGAGACACCCGCUCAUCCUCAAUCUCGCUCAUAUCCGUCGAGGAGAAGCAGCGCAUCGCCAAAGCCAAGGAGUCGCAUAUACUUAGAAUCGUCGGCGAGCUGCGCAAAAAAGACGCGGAGCAGGCACUACUGUUUGAAGAGAAAAUAAAUCUGCAAAUGCGACUUUUGCACGCGGCGAACAUUUGGGGCGCGAACGAGAGCGACAACGAGAGAAUCGAGAAGCUCGAGAAGCUCGAGAAGGAGGUUCCCGAUUAUACUCGCUUGGCGCACAACGAAGGCUCUGAUACCACUCAAUUGUGGCAAGAGGUGGUCAUGGCGGUGCAAGAAGCAACGCGCCUCGCUAGCUCGCUGUCGUUCAGCGCUGGAGGUGCUACACUGUCGAGAAGCUUGAGCUCCGCCGGCGAACGCCACAGCGAGGCUUACGUUCCGCCAGCUCUUUGCGUCCCUCGGAGGGCCGAAACAUUCGCUGGUUUCGAUCAUAGUAAGGAGCGACAUCCGUUGCGCGACUCGAACGCCGUGAUUCCCGUCCCGAAGCUCGGCGAGCUACCGAAGGAAAGCCCGGACGAAAAGGAAGGUCAAGAACUGGAGACCAACAAGGAUCAACAGUUGGCGGCGAUACGUUUGUCUCAUCACGUUUAUACGUUGCUCUGUAUAAUAAGUAAUCAGAUGACGACGAUCGACGGCCUGCAGGCGCAAUUGUCCGCGUGCAAGGAAGGCAGCAUGCCCAUGGGCAAGUCCUCCAAUAGCCGACCGAACUCGAAUCGCCAACUGGAGGAACUGCGGAACUUGCAGGAUCAGCUCUGCCGGGAAAAGGCCGCGUUUCGCGCCGCAUCCCAGCAGGAGAAGAGUCAACUGGAGGAGGAGCGCACCGACCUGGUGCGGCAAAGGGAGCAAUUGGCGGCGGAGCAGCGAGACGUGACGCAGCAACGAGACCAGCUGUACCGGCGUCUCGAGGCUCUGGAGCGGCAAGGUGUCACGUUGGUCGGUAGCUCCGCCAGCUCGACUACGAUCCAUUUGUCGCACCUGACGCAGAAUGCCGAGGCGGUGCAGACGCGCAAGUCCCAGCCCGAGGCCAAGCGUAUUCCCCUGAACUUGAUCAGCGCGACGAAUCAGCAGAAGGUGCAGAGCAAUUUGCCGGUCAAACAGCAGCUACCUCUCAAGCUGGCCAGCGGCAGCAACAACAACACAAGCUGAACUAGUACUUUUGCCGUUGAAAGGGAAAGAAACGAAAUUCCAGUGUAGCACUAAUUGAGCCAAAGAAAACAGACUUGAUGAAAUGAAACGAGAUGAAGCGGCAGUACUGCCAGCAACAACAGCCCGGACCGGCACUCCCGGACGGGCAGCAGCCCGGCCAUCGUCACCGGCUCAGCGUACUCAUCGCCCGAGCUCGGCAACAACAGCCACGCCGGCAGCAGUCACACGCACUCGUCGAACCGCUCGCUCCGCAUCACUCGCUCGCCCCCGGACUCGUACG
rnacentral:misc_RNA from 1 species